rfam:Bifidobacterium reuteri DSM 23975 Contig05, whole genome shotgun sequence.
GGCUGUUCGCCGAUUAAAGCGGCACGCGAGCUGGGUUCAGAACGUCGUGAGACAGUUUGGUCUCUAUCCUCUGCGCUCGUUGGAAUGUUGAGGAGGCCUGCCCAUAGUACGAGAGGACCUGGGUGGACGAACCUCUGGUAUGCCGGUUGUCGCGCCAGCGGCACGGCCGGUUGGCCACGUUCGGAAGGGAUAACCGCUGAAAGCAUCUAAGCGGGAAGCCUGCUCCAAGAUAAGCAUUCCUACAGGCCCAUGUGGCCUGGUGACCCCCCAUGCAGAACACGUGGUCGAUAGGCCGGACGUGGAAGCCCCGCGAGGGGUGGAGCCGACCGGUACUAACGGGGGAACGCCACACAACA